rnacentral:rRNA from 1 species
GCGCGAUAUGCUCAAGUAAAAGAUUAAGCCAUGCAUGCUUUGAUUCAUCAAUGAAAUUGCGUACGGCUCAUUAGAGCAGAUGUCACCUUAUUCGGAAUCCAGAUAUGGAUAACUGCGGAAAUACUGGAGCUAAUACAUGCAACUAAACCCCGACGCAAGGAGGGGUGCAAUUAUUAGAACAGACCAAACGUUUUCGGACGUUGUUUGUUGACUCUGAAUAAAGCAGUUUACUGUCAGUUUCGGCUGACUCUAUCCGAAAAGGGUGUCUGCCCUUUCAACUAGAUGGUAGUUUAUUGGACUACCAUGGUUGUUACGGGUAACGGAGAAUAAGGGUUCGACUCCGGAGAGGGAGCCUUAGAAACGGCUACCACGUCCAAGGAAGGCAGCAGGCGCGAAACUUAUCCACUGUUGAGUAUGAGAUAGUGACUAAAAAUAUAAAGACUCAUCCUUCUGGAUGAGUUAUUUCAAUGAGUUGAAUACAAAUGAUUCUUCGAGUAGCAAGGAGAGGGCAAGUCUGGUGCCAGCAGCCGCGGUAAUUCCAGCUCUCCUAGUGUAUCUCGUUAUUGCUGCGGUUAAAAAGCUCGUAGUUGGAUCUAGGUUACGUGCCGCAGUUCGCAAUUUGCGUUAACUGUGGUCGUGACUUCUAAUUUGCUGGUUUGCGGUUGGGUUCGCCCAUCAACUGCCAGCAGGUUUACCUUGAAUAAAUCAGAGUGCUCAAUACAGGCGCUUGCUUGAAUAGCUCAUCAUGGAAUAAUGAAACAGGACUUCGGUUCUUUUUGUUGGUUCUAGAACUGAUUUAAUGGUUAAGAGGGACAAACCGGGGGCAUUCGUAUCAUUACGCGAGAGGUGAAAUUCGUGGACCGUAGUGAGACGCCCAAUAGCGAAAGCAUUUGCCAAGAAUGUCUUCAUUAAUCAAGAACGAAAGUCAGAGGUUCGAAGGCGAUUAGAUACCGCCCUAGUUCUGACCGUAAACGAUGCCAUCUCGCGAUUCGGAGGGUUUAUGCCCUGCCGAGGAGCUAUCCGGAAACGAAAGUCUUUCGGUUCCGGGGGUAGUAUGGUUGCAAAGCUGAAACUUAAAGAAAUUGACGGAAGGGCACCACAAGGCGUGGAGCUUGCGGCUUAAUUUGACUCAACACGGGAAAACUCACCCGGUCCGGACACCAUUAGGACUGACAGAUUGAAAGCUCUUUCUCGAUUUGGUGGUUGGUGGUGCAUGGCCGUUCUUAGUUGGUGGAGUGAUUUGUCUGGUUUAUUCCGAUAACGAGCGAGACUCUAGCCUGCUAAAUAGUUGGCGAAUCUUCGGGUUCGUAUAACUUCUUAGAGGGAUAAGCGGUGUUUAGCCGCACGAGAUUGAGCGAUAACAGGUCUGUGAUGCCCUUAGAUGUCCGGGGCUGCACGCGUGCUACACUGGUGGAGUCAGCGGGUUUUUCCUAUGCCGAAAGGUAUCGGUAAACCGUUGAAAUUCUUCCAUGUCCGGGAUAGGGUAUUGUAAUUAUUGCCCUUAAACGAGGAAUGCCUAGUAAGUGUGAGUCAUCAGCUCACGUUGAUUACGUCCCUGCCCUUUGUACACACCGCCCGUCGCUAUCCGGGACUGAACUGAUUCGAGAAGAGUGGGGACUGUGUCUUCGAGGUUUCACGACUUCGUAGUUGCGGAAACCAUUUUUAUCGCAUUGGUUUGAACCGGGUAAAAGUCGUAACAAGGUAGCU